rfam:Brachypodium distachyon strain Bd21 chromosome 1, whole genome shotgun sequence.
UUAAUACUCCCUCCGUCCCAUAUUAAGUGCCGAAAUAUUACAUGUAUCGAGACGUAUUUACUAUAUAGAUACAUCCAUAUUUAGACAAAUUUGAGUCACUUAAUAUGGGACGGAGGGAGUAUAUA